UACGAAGGGGGCUAGCGUUGCUCGGAAUCACUGGGCGUAAAGCGCACGUAGGCGGACUCUUAAGUCGGUGGUGAAAUCCUGGAGCUCAACUCCAGAACUGCCUUCGAUACUGAGAGUCUCGAGUCCGAGAGAGGUGAGUGGAACUGCGAGUGUAGAGGUGAAAAUUCGUAGAUAUUCGCAAGAACACCAGUGGCGAAGGCGGCUCACUGGCUCGGGUACUGACGCUGAGGUGCGAAAAGCGUGGGGGAGCAAACAGGG
rnacentral:rRNA from 1 species